UCGAUUUGGAGUUUGUUGCCCUGAGUGAUGGGCUCCGAAGCUAACGCGAUAAAUCGACCGCCUGGGGAGUACGGCCGCAAGGUUAAAACUCAAAUGAAUUGACGGGGGCCCGCACAAGCGGUGGAGCAUGUGGUUUAAUUCGAUGCAACGCGAAGAACCUUACCUGGUCUUGACAUCCACAGAAUCUUGCAGAGAUGCGAGAGUGCCUUCGGGAACUGUGAGACAGGUGCUGCAUGGCUGUCGUCAGCUCGUGUUGUGAAAUGUUGGGUUAAGUCCCGCAACGAGCGCAACCCUUAUCCUUUGUUGCCAGCGGUUUGGCCGGGAACUCAAAGGAGACUGCCGUUGAUAAAGCGGAGGAAG
rnacentral:rRNA from 1 species